GUCAGCAUGGCGUAGUGGUUUGAGUGUUGGACUAGGACUCUGGAGACUGGGAUUCGAAUGCCGAUUCAGCUA